CCCCUUGGCCACAGGCCGGCGGCCUUAAGAGUCCCGCCUCCAUCCUAGCCCACUCCCCUCCCCAGCCUGGGGCAAGCCUUUUGCCAACCUGACGCCCCAGGGGGGAGCCUGGGUUCUGGUUGCCGCAAUCACCCAGUGGAUCCUUCAUCUGAAUUCCAGGUCCCGGCCCAACCCAACGCGGGUCGCUUAUGUAUCGUCCAAACUGAUGACCAGCCCUCCGCUCCCACCCACCCCACUCCGUCUCCAGAGGUCAGCAAGCAGGGCAGCUGAAGCUGCAGGUGCACCCCUCCUCCAGCUCUAUUCAGGCUGCUGAGACCAAGCCAGGGGCGCUAAGGAACAGAAAUUGAGCCGUAACCUUCCUCUUUCCGUGGGUCUCCAAACUCUAGGUGCUGGCUACCUGGGCCAGCUUCUCUGCAUAUUAGCGUUCGCUGCCCUGGACUUCGAUGUGUAGACCAGACUGGCCUUAGACCCAGAGAGCUGCCUGCUUCCGCUUUCAAGUGCUGCGAUUAAAGGUGCUUCGGAUUGUCUACAGCUGCUGACUCUGGUGUGUCUUCUGCUUCGGGAGUGUGGUUUUGCACGCUGAGGAUAGCUUACGUUGGGAAUUCUGGGGGACUCUUAUAAAUGCCAGAGCCUCGAGAAGGGCUGGAGGUGCUCCUAAAACGUGGCGCUGCUCCCCGUGCUGCUGUGGGUUGUCAAAGAGACUAGUAGAAGAAAUUGGAUAUCCUGUCUCUGACGACCAAAUUUGCCCCAAGGAACUCAACACCCUAGUCAGCAGGAAGCAGUCUAAAGAGAUCUGUGCCCUCUUUCCCUCUGUCCUUCUUUCUCUCCUACCUAGUGUUGAGGGGUCAGAAGGUAUGUGGGUGGAGAAGUGUGGUAGACAAAAAACCAAUAAAGUAGCCAAAA